CUCCAAGAAAGGGUUAUUGUUGCCGCAUUUCUCUACUUACUGGAACAAGAACCCUUAUUUCUUGGAGGGGCCUGUGGAACUACGGUCACUCCAGACCUGCUUGGGAGCAUCACUUGCGUUAGGAGCUGUACUCGGAGGAUCUCUUUAAUGAUAAUCAUCCUGACAAACAUCAGUUAUUACUGUUGGGAAGAAGUUCCGAGGGACUGAGAAAUCAAAAUUUCUGCCUUUAAAGAAACACACACAAUGGCACAGAAAAUCAAGCUUUAACUUGCUACAAAAUGCUGAGUAGGGGAGAAUAAAAGAAAAGCGAAAGUGGAGAGGCUGAAUCACAGGCUCAGAUGCCUUAGCAAGGACAGAAUGAUGUCUAAGGUCUUGAGGAAUCGGUGACUUCAAAGGUUCCGCAAUGCCCAAGCUAUGGAGGCAGUGCUUUGAGAGAAGGCUUCUGUCUGGGACGUGCAAUGAGGCAUCUCCAAAUGAAGUGUUCAGGCCCAGCCCCUAACUCUCCUCUUGUCUUUU
rnacentral:lncRNA from 1 species